UUGUGUUUAGAAGACAGAGCUGCUUAGUCUGUUCAAAGUCUUAUCCUUUUUUUUUUUUUCCUAAUGAUAGAAAAUCUGUAGCUAACAGAAGGUAGAGAAUGACAUUUUGAGACUGCUAAAAGUACUGCUGUAUAUGUAUCAAAUAGCAGGAUACACAGAAAUGUAGAAAGAUUUUGUGGGCAAAAUGUGGCGAAUUCAUGGAACAUGUGGAAAAGACCACACAGAAAAACUGUAUGAAAAGUCAGCACUGGCAGCAGCUCUUGAGCAAUAAUAGCAAAAAGAAAAUGGACAUUUGCCUCCUUCUCAGCUUCUCCUCUGUUUUGAACAGGGUUGCCAGGUGGUGUCCAUGCCCUGCUUGAAAUGGCUGACACAAGGACAGUCUCACAUCAGCACUGUAAAUACUGUGUGUCUCUUCACAAAACAUUUAAGUGUGUCUUGGUCUGCUGCCUCUGCUGUUUACCCAAGUAGCUACAAACCAUCUCUCUCAAGAUGGCUUGCAGGCACAUCACAUUUCACCUUCCUGAAGGGGAGGAGGACAGGAAGAAGAGGAAACUUAAUUUUGAAGGUCAGCAUGGCCAAAGCUUUCUGAUUUCCAUAAAGAUGCCAGACAGUGACAUCCUAUCUACUCUGUGUUCCUAUGCUUUAUGUUGGGAACUCCAUUGCCUGAUGGAAAUGUUGCAGGAGAAUAACUUGACUCUCACCAGCACUGCACUAAGCAAAAGUAACAAAUGGUGUCAUUGCUGAAGCCUGUGAAACAAUAUUUGUAGUCAUGGUUGUAACUGGAGCCAACGGCAGAGGCACUGAACCAGAACCUACAUAGAACCCAAGCCUUGCCAAGGUCACAUGUUAUCCUAUUUAUUUGUUUUAACUUGACUAAGUAGGGUUUUGAUCAUUUAACCAUGGCCCUUGUUCAUAAGAGUCCUAUGGGCUUGUGAGAAAACAACUCUUUGGUGUUUUCAAAUAUGAUUUCAAUUAAAUAUUGUUAUUCAGAACAAAUGUUUCCACCUAACACAUCAUGUAACUGCAAUCUGUGCUUUUGCCUUCAAGUCUUUUAUAGUGAACACAGGUUAAAUGACCACAUAAAAUAAUUAACAGUGGCCUUGUGUAAAAAAAAAUACAUGCAGAAAUAAGACUGAAAAACCGUAAUCUCUAGUGUACUUGACCAAAACAGCCAAUUCUGUUUGGCAAAUUCUAAAAUACUGGCUUUUGAACCAUGACUGUAGUAAGCUUCCCUAGAAUUGAAUGCAGCCCACUUGCUGCAAGGAUACGUUCUCAGCUGAAGGCUGCAUGUUGGAAGUGAUUAUUAGUGGUUUUAAUUAUAUCACAGCAAGUACUGUAACAAGUAGAUACAUUAUUUUUUAGUUCCAUUUCUCAGCCAUUCAUUCUGUAUAAAGAUGUGUCUGUGUUCUGCUCAACACCUGACACAUGCUUCUCAAAAAUGGCUCCAUUUCAAAUGUAAGGGAAGUGAUCCCUGCACAGAAGGCCUAAUAUACAAAAUUAUUGAACCCUCAUGUUUCUGAUAGAAGACAGGGUGAGUUGUUGCUUAAAAACUCUUUCUGAACAUUGCCACCAGCAGCAAUUGUUUGGGGGAAAAAAGACUAUAUGGUACAUAUAUGUUAUCACAUUUUUAUUUUUUAUGCUAAAUCAUAGUGAAAUUCCUAAUGGAAAAAAACAAACAAGGAAUAGUGCAACUUGCAAAAUAAAGCUUUUGCUAAGUACUCUCUGUCUUCCCAGCUUUACUAGAAAAGCUGCCAUGAGCCAUCUUUUUAAUAACAUUAGGAAAUAUAACAUUACAAAGUUACAAACAUUUAUAAAGGCCACUAAAUAUUAUGCCAAACUUAAAGGUCUGACCUUUUUAACCUCAAAACUACAGACAUUUUAACCAACCUGCAUUCAUAAAAGAAAUAUUGAUAGACUCUUAACUCUUGUGAAUCCAGUGAUUACUGGCAUAAAGAAAAGCAAUAACACAUUCUGCAAUAUGUUGCAAUAAAUCUGUAUACAACAUAGUUUAUAGAUUUGUAAGUUUUAGAUUGUCAUGAUAGUUUUCUAUUUUUAUCAACAACAUUUAAAAAAAGCCCCAAAAACCAGUAAGUAAACCUGGAAUACUACAGGCCAAUCAAUAAAGUUUAAAAGUUCCAGUGAAGCUAACCUAUAACAGGUCCUUGUUUGGAGAAUAUGCUCAAGAAACACAUGUGCCUUUAAGAGGUCUUGAAAGAAUUUACACCCAUGGACCAUUACCAUUUCCAAACACCCUGCAGCUUUACCAGCCCAACAUGUGCUGACUGUAUAUCACCAUGACCCUUUCACUAAAGCUCUUUUGACUGGAGUGCUUUUAAUACCCACUUUCUCAGCUGAGCUCAGGAGUGAUUUGUUUUACAUGCCACAUUAAUCCUUUCCACAUUUUCUGGAUGAGGCAACCACAAUUCCACUUGUGAGGUGUUUCUAAAACAUAGUUAUAGGAAUAAAGCAGCAGGGUCCCAGACUUGACAACUUCCCUUCGGGCGGCUGACAAAGUGGGCUAUCGUGGCUGGUGUGGGAGCGAGCACUUGUGCCCAGCAGCCAGGGUGGCCUGCUCUCCAUGGUUAGUCAGAGGCCCAAUUAUUGUUGGCAAUUCAGCCACAAUUAAAACCCUGUAGAGAUCUACAUAGAUUUAAUGUCCAAUGAAUGCUGAUGCUGAUUAAUAAAACGCAGCUCGUCUUUUAUAAGCGCGAGAUGAAAUGCAACAGAGAGAAGCAGAACUGAAAGUAUAAAUCGCAGCUCCGUAAAACCCAAGAAGUUUAUGCCUCACACCUACGUGAUUGGAGGAAAAGAGCGUUUUAUAAAUGGGCAAUUAGUGUUCAGUGCACUGGCUUUUAUUACGUGGUAAUUUUACAGUUUUCACUUUAAAGACACCCAAAAAGAAAUCAAAGGCCAAAUGAAUUUCUGUUGUAUGCAUUUAUGAGCUUUCUGCAUUUAUAAUGUUAGCUCAAUCUCACUAAUGUAGGGGUAUGAAAAUUUAGUGUUGUCAACAAGGCUAACAGAGUGGACCAACCAAUUACAAAACUGUUUUUACAUGUCAGCGCUGUGCACAUUUUAUUAACAAGUUAGUAUUAUACUCAAUUUUUUAUGUGUUAAAUCGAACUGUACAAGUAACUGCAGAACAAAAAUUAUGUUUCUACACGAGUUAAUUUAUUGCUCUUCCCCCAUAAAUUUUACUUACAAGUUCAAUGGUCUGAGCUGAACUAUAAAUUAGAGUGAGGUGAGUCUUACAUACAACUCGAUUUACUCUGGUAAUUUCUAAAGGAAGUAUCUGAAUCCACAUGCCUGUCUACAAUUGUCUUUACAGUAAGAUGAAGAAACAGUAUAAAAACAGCAGUGGCUGAUCAACAGUUUUCUGUUAAAAGCUUUUAUGCUCCCAUGCAAGGCUGUUCAACAAAACUUCAAAUAAAAAAGUAACUUCAUGAGCCAUUCAUGCUGUGUGGCAGGUGUCACCAGAUGGUGCCAUUUCAAUCUUCCAGACUUCUUUUCUUCCUUUUUUCUUCUUAAAUUUAAGCAUGGAAAUAAAUAUUCACUCCUGGAAUGAUAUAUUAAUUUUUUAAUUUGUGUUAGUAGAGUUGUGUGAGCAGGGAGCUGUGUUAUUGGAAGGUUGCUGGUUGCUAUUUGCUUUGAUCUAGUACUAGAAUCUGUUCUUCAGGUGGAAUUGUUGCUUGUAAUCCCAGUUUUACUGAUGAGUAAAUCUGAGACUCUUUAGCAAGGGAAUUACUUGCACACCGUUUGAUUCUCUGUUUCAGUACUUAUUUAUAUGUAUAAAUAAACCAAGUUAUACUUAGAAUAUAACCAGAGGCUACAUAUCUGAUUUCCCUGAACUGUGAAAACACCUGCAAUUUCUCUGCAGGAGGACAACAAAGAUGCCUGCACAAAUUAUCUUCCUUUAAUUUGCAACAAGAUACUUGCUGAUCUUUUAAGAUAUGCUAAUUUUAAGAUAUGUUAAUUACCUGAAGCUGGAUGCUAGGGGCACCCAGCUUUUUUACAGGUCUCCUGGGCAUCAAAUAGAACCUCUCUGCCAGUUUUGCCAGCUGUACAUUAAGACCUUGUUGACUACACCUUUUUUGUGUUUUCUUCUUUUCUCACUAUAUGCUGGUAGAGAGCUCAGAAGCACAGAAAUAUCAGCAUGUCUUCUUUACAUUUUAUUUUUGAGAAAGUAUUAUAGGUGCAGAAGCUCUGACCCUGAGCUUGCUCUUCCCACCUUCAUCUGACUGGCUAUUUCAAAUAAUUCUCAAACCUUUUGGGCAAGAAGUAUGACUGAGCCACUGUUUGUUACUAGUAGGAUACAGAGGGUAAUGUGAAGUAUUCAAGAAAUAAAUUUUGGUGUCGUUGAGGAAUGUUGGAGCCAGUGAAGAAGUGAGAAUGCACCAUUUGUGACACCAAUGCUCAUCGUUUCCCCAGCACAAAGACAAUGUUCCACUAUCACCUGUGACCUCAGUGUGGACAUUCCCUCCAGCAGGGUAAAGCUGAUGGUUUGUACCAAAAGCC